rnacentral:sRNA from 1 species
AGACAUUGCCAUCGGGGAAGGUAAGAACCUUCGACAAGGUUCGCGCCGAGCGUAGCGAGACAACGACGCGCAGCGGCGGCCCGAAGGGUGAGGAACACAGUGACGAAUAAUCCUUCCCCCACCACCC